rnacentral:piRNA from 1 species
UGUGAGCCCUUUAGGGAUAUGAUGGU